GGAGGGUGGAGGGCUCUUUCUGAGAUGAGGAAAUGAUCUAAAACUGCCUGCGGUGACGGCUGCACAGCUCUGAAGAUGCAGAAACUCGCUGAGCUGGACGCAUUCUGAAUUGUGUGAAGUGCAGUCUUGGUGCCCAAAUGUGCGCCCGCUGGGGCAGAGGAGAAUCCGCGGGGCCUGAAGCAGAAUCGCGCCCUCCCCCCAACCUGCCGGCUGCCCGGGCGCUCCCCAUGGGCCCAGACGCAGGAGACAAAGGAGAACAUGGGGGUUCAGGCAUCUAAGCCGGGCACAUUGGCCCAAGCCUGUAAUCCCAGCACUUUGGGAGGCCGAGGCAGGCGGAUCACUUAAGCUCAGGAGUUCGAAACCAGCCUGGCCAAGAUGGUGAAACCCCAUCUCUACUAAAAAUACAAAAGAUUAGCCGGCUGUGAUGACGCGCACCUGUAAUCUCAGCUACUCGGGAGGCUGAGGCACGAGAAUCGCUUGCACCCAGGAGGUGGAGGCUGCAGUGAGCCGAGAUCACGCCAGGGCACUCCGGCCUGGGCGACAGAGUGAGACUUCGUCUCAAGAAAAACCAAAAAUCCAAAAGAACUACAGGCAUCGGCUGUGUCCCCACUAGGAAGCCGGAGGGGAGCAGGGCUGGGUGUGUCUUCUCUGGCUGCGUCCCUGCGGCCACAAGGCCUGUUCUUCCUCUGUGCCCCGCCUGCCAAGGACCCAGCCUUGUGAAGGAUGGAUGAAUGAAUCAUUGAGCAAAUGAAUGAGUGUGUGAACAGGGAGAGUCUGCAGCAGGGAGACCCCGGCAGCUUCGAGUAUGGAGGGGAGACUCUGGCCGCCUGAGACGGGAGGGCAUCUUCCUAGGCUUUCCUCCAGCCAAGAGUGGAGCUGGGACCUGGGAACCUCCCUGGAACCACCCCUGCUCUCCGGCAAGGCGUUCCACCAGCCUGUGUCUACACACGUAGCCCCGCAGAGCAGGCUUCGUGAUGCCUGGAGACACCCACUUCCCCUUCCUUCUCCUGGGACUUCUCAGUCACACGGGCUGAGCUGCAGAGGAGCUGGCUGCCAGGUGCUGAGCCGCCCCAAGAAAAAGCCCUCGUGGCAAGAAACUGAGGCCUCCAGCCAGCAGUCAGGGACCCGAGGCCUGAGACGGUGGAGGGUGAGCUUGCAAAGGGACCCCACAGUCGGGCCUUGAGAGGCCCACGGGCCUGGCCCACACCUCGGCUGCAGCCUUGUGAAGGUCCCUGAGCAGGGGACCCAGACUUCUGUCCUACAGAAACUUGGAGAUAAUAAAUGCCUGCUCUUCUACGGCACUGAGUGUCGGGUGAUUUGUUACGGGCAGUAGACAGCUAAUACCUGCCCCUUAGGACACCAAGUCCUCGCCUCCUGGAGGCCCAAGCCCCAGGGAGCCAUGCCUGACUUGCCGCCUGUCGAUGGGCCACGCGUUCCUUGUUGAUGCCAUUCUGGGGUCCCCUCACCCUGACAUACUAGGAGCCAGUUCCGAGGGAGGCUCUUCUGCCACCAACCCUGGCCCAGGGGGACACUGAGCUCCUUGAUGCUGAGGGCCGGUGGUUCCUUAUCGCCUGGCGACCAGCGUGUCCUCCGGGUCCUUUUCCAAUACCAGCACCUCCCAGCUCAAAAACACAACCCAGCACUCCUGUUCCUCCGUCUCCCGGCCCUCCCUCGACACUGGGCCGAGGCAGCCUGUGCACCUGCCCCAAGCUCCCAGGAGCUGACCCAGCAGCGGAUUCGGCCUGGUUCCCGGCAUCCUUACCGGGAUUUGGAAAAUGCUCCUUUCAAUCAAUAAAGGCCCCACGCGGGCCUUCUUCCGCCCUCCCCUCCAGCAUCCUCCAUCUCCAUUUCCACCCGUCCUCCCCGUCCUGCCAGGCCGCAGCUCCUUGCAGAAUAACCCACACCCUCCAGUCGCAGGGACAGAACACCCUAGUUACUGGCCUAGAAUUUUGCGGGGGACGAGGACAGGCAGACCCUAAGGAGGACACUCGCCUCAGGUGAGACCUUUGCAAGGUCCCGGCAGUGGGAGCCACUCCCGCCACUGCGGAGGGAACAGAGGGCAGGGAUCUAAGAGGCUUCUACCCAAAUACCGCAUCCAGGUCAUAGCGUCCCACCCCCCGCUGCCACCGGGGCCCUGACUUCAACACGGGAGGCAGACCAGACGCCACCGCCCUGGGAUCAGAGCUUGGGCCCGAGGGUUGGCCCCGUCUGCACUCUGGCUUUCGGAAUGAGGCUCGCUGUCAAUGCUGUGGUGGAGCUGCAUUCGUUUCCGGGGCUUCUAUAACAAGGUGCCAUAGAACAGGGCUCCAACAGCAGCCCAUUCUCCCACUGUCCUGGAGGCUGGAAGUUCGAGACCAAGGUGCCUGCAGAGUUGGUUCCUCCUGAGGCCUUUCUCCCUGGCUUGUAGAUGGCCCUCUUCUCCUGACUCCUCACACAGAGUCAUCCCUCUGUGUGUAUCUGUGUCCUAGUCUCUCUUCUUUUUCUUUUCGCUUCUUCUUUUUUUUUUUUUGAAGACAGGGUCUCUCUCUCUCUGUCACCCAGGCUGGAGUGCAGUGGUGUUAUCAUAGCUCACUGCAGCCUAGACCUCCCAGGCUCAGGUGAUGCUCCUACCUCAGCCUCCCAAGUAGCUGGGACCACAGACAUGUGUCACCACACCCGACUAAUUUUUUAUAUUUUGUUGUAGAGAUGGGGUCUCACUAUGUUGCCCAGGCUCAACUGGCUUUAAGCCAUCCUCCCACCUCGACCUUCCAAAGUGUUGGGAUUACAGGUGUGAGCCACUGAGCCUGGCCCUUAUCUCUUUUUCUCAGGACACGACUCAGGCCGGGCGUGGUGGCUCAUGCCUAUAAUCCCAGCACAUUGGGAGGCCAAGACGGGCGGAUCACCUGAGGUCAGGAGUUCCAGACCAGCCUGGUCAGCAUGGUGAAACCCCGUCUCUACUAAAAAUAUAAAAAUUAGCCAGGUGUGGUGGCCAGCGCCUGUAAUCCCAGCUACUCGGGAGGCUGAGGCAGGAGAAUCGCUUGAACCCAGGAGGCGGAGGUUGCAGUGAGCCAAGAUCGCACCAUUGCACUCUAGCCUGGGUGACAGAGUGGGACUCCGUCUCAAAAAAUAAAAAAAGUGGGGGAUGGGGGUGGGGGUGGGGGUGGGCCAGGCGCGGUGGCUCACGCCUGUAAUCCCAUCACUUUGGGAGGCCGAGACGGGUGGAUCACCUGAGGUCAGAAGUUCGAGACCAGCCUGACCAACAUGGGGAAACUUCAUCUCUACUAAAAAAUACAAAAAUUAGCCGGGUGUGGUGGUGGGUGCCUGUAAUCCCAGGUGCUCAGGAGGCGAAGCAGAAGAAUCACUUGAACCCAAGAGGUGGAGGUUGCAGUGAGCCAAGCUCGUGACACUGCACUCCAGACUGGGUGACAGAGCAAGACUUCAUUUCAAAGGAAAAAAAAAACAAGGCCAGCGGUCAUGUGGGAACAGGACUCGCUGUAAUCCCCUCUUUAAAGGCCAUAUCUGUAAAUACAG
rnacentral:lncRNA from 1 species